rnacentral:snRNA from 9 species
AAGCUUGCCUGGCGCCUGGUUCAGAGUGAUCAGCAAAGCUCUGACAACAGGUGGAGGCUCAGCAUCGCACUCUGCUGUGUUGAUGCUUGCGACGGAUUCGAAUCGUGUUCGCUUAGUAGGUAUUUUUUGGCGAUGGGGUUUUUGAGUAUCCCUUU